GAUGAAGAACGCAGCGAAAUGCGAUAAGUAGUGUGAAUUGCAGAAUUCAGUGAAUCAUCGAAUCUUUGAACGCACAUUGCGCCCUUUGGUAUUCCAAAGGGCAUGCCUGUUCGAGCGUCAUUUGUACCCUCAAGCUUUGCUUGGUGUUGGGCGUCUUGUCUCUAGCUUUGCUGGAGACUCGCCUUAAAGUAAUUGGCAGCCGGCCUACUGGUUUCGGAGCGCAGCACAAGUCGCACUCUCUAUCAGCAAAGGUCUAGCAUCCGUUAAGCCUUUUUUUCAACUUUUGACCUCGGAUCAGGUAGGGAUACCCGCUGAACUUAAGCAUAUCAAUAAGCGGAGGA
rnacentral:misc_RNA from 1 species